GGCGGAGCCCAGGGUCUUCGCGAAUCGCCGUCAUGGCAGCGGAGGAGAAGGACCCCCUGAGCUAUUUCGCAGCUUACGGGAGCAGCAGCUCAGGCUCCUCGGAUGAGGAGGAUAACAGCGAGCCGGAGGAAACGAAUCGCAGAGCUCCGGAUCCGGCGAAGUCGGCGGGCGUAUGUGGGAACAAAACGGAAAAGCGGCUGCCUGGACCCGAAGAACUGUUCCGGAGCGUGACUCGUCCGGCCUUUCUCUAUAAUCCGCUUAACAAACAGAUAGACUGGGAGAGACACGUCGUCAAGGCGCCCGAGGAGCUUCUCCCCGAGACCCCUUCCCUUUGACGCCGAAGUGCCUGCGGUGCUGCCUCCAAGACAGUGUCUGCUGCAGCCUCCUGAAGGGGUCAGCCUUGGCGUAGUAUCUCUGAGACUGGAUUCUUCUUUGCCGCCAAAGGAAUUCAAAGUCUGGAAGUCAAACUAUGUUCCACCUCCAGAGACGUACACUACUGAAAAGAAACCUCCUCCUCCAGAGCUGGAUAUGGCAAUAAAAUGGUCUAACAUAUAUGAGGACAAUGGUGAUGAUGCCCCACAGAACGUUAAGAAAGCUAGGCUUCUCCCAGAAGGGGAGGAGACGGUGGAAUCAGAUGAAGAAAAAGAUGAGCAUACUUCUAAAAAGCGCAGAGUAGAACCAGGAGAACCAACAAAGAAGAAAAAAUAGGAAACAACAAAUAACAAGAAAUUUCGGACUACAAAUCUUAUCAGAAUGGUUUUUUGGCAGAUAAGUUGAUACUGUAAAUUAUUAUGAAACAUCAUCUUCAUGAAAGUACAUGGAUAAACUAAUAAGUAUUACUGCAGGAACUUUCCACUGUAGAAUUCACUUUUUAUUUAAAAUUUGUAUGUAUUUAAAACUCAAAUGGUGACUUGUGAUUGUGAAGUUGACAACACUUGGAAGCAUUCUUGCUGUCACAAAAUUGGUGGCAUGCUUUGAGAGUUCUGUCACAUGUUGACAUGCCAGUGUUCUAGGAACCUUUUAUAAAGGAAUAUAUUUUUAAAGUAAAUAUAUUGUAUCAUACUGUGAACUUGUAGGGUGCUCUUCAACAGUGUUUGUACAGUGUAAAUAGAUCAUGGAAAUAAAAGUACUUAUUCAAUAUUACUAUUACUGCAUAACAUUAACAUUUGAAUAUCUGUGACAAAUUCCGUUUGCCAUGUGAUGUUAAUAGUAGGUGUUAGCAUUUAGGGAGUGCUUCCUGUGUUCCAGGUGCUUCGUGUGUACUUAUCUGUGACCCACAAGCAGCCUAGUAAAGCAUGUAUUAGUAGCCUUGUUUUAUAAUGAAGAGUGGUUAAUUUAUGCGGGGUUACACAGCUAGUGAGCAGUGAAUUUGGUUUUCAACUCAUGAUGCUUGAACUCUAAAAUCGUUACACUAUACCACCUGUCCACCAAUCAGAAUUUAGGAACUGCAAUUGGCAGCUCUUCCAGGUACUCCUUUGUGGUAGUUACUAGAGAUCCUCUCCUCAGGUGGUUGUGUAACUGCACUUAUCAUACACAUACACCUUAUGUUAUGAAAAUUUGUCAGUUUCCCUGUUAAAUAGUAAGUUUGCUGAAGAUGAGAAUCUUCCACAAAGAGUUGCCAGAUGUCUCAAAUAAAAAUACAGGACAUGCAGUUAAAUUUGAAUUUUAGAUAAGCAUUAAAUAAUGUUUUAGUAUAGGUAAUAUUUAGGACCUAUUUAUACUAAAAAUUUAUCAGAAAUUCAAAUUUAACUGGGCAUCUGAUAUAUGUAUCUGCCACGCCUACUUCUAUGUGUUUGCUACCCAGCUCCAAUUUUAAUGCUUUGCAUAUAGUAAUAAUCAAGAAAAUCAACAAAGUUGUAGUCAGGAAGAUAAUGUUUGAUUUGACAUCUACAGUCCAAAAUGCAGUGCUGCUAUUUGUGAUGUUUUGAACAAUAAAAAGAAAUACACUACAUCAUCAGUCUUUCCAUGAUCGUUAUGCCUUGAAAAAACAAGUGUUAAUUACAGGACACUGUGCAUUUAGUGUAUGAGAAAAAGACUUUAGUUUUUGAGUUUUAAAAAUUCCCCAGUCCAGUUGUUUUCCCCCAUACUGGAAGCCACAUUUGAAAAACUGUACAAUUUGUUUAGCUGGGAACAUGAUCAAGUAUAUUAAAAUUUGUAAGUCAUUAAAAAUAUGCCAGCCAUGAUGUUUUGUGGAAUAAGGAAGGGAGACAACAAUAUGAUGAUUGCUAAUAUAUCUCAAAAUUACAAAGACCAGUUUUACAGCUGCUUAUCCUCUAGGUUUACAAAUGUAUGAAUCCCCAAGCUGAAGAAAUUGAUAAAGCAAGAAACUUUGUUUAAGGUUGAAGUCUUUGUGAGUAAUUUUGAGGACUAUCCUAUUAUAUAUUGAGGAGUGUCAUCAACUGGUAACGCAUAACCCUAGUGUGACACCGAAUUAAAUUAACAGGUGGAAUAAUUAUGAGGCGAAAUCCAGUCUGUAGUCACGUAUUAGUGGAGCAGAUAUCUCAAAAGGUACUGAAAUGUUACAAGGUGAAAAAAUUAGAAUGAAAGCAAACCAUAACCCCACAAGAAAAGCCCAGCAAGCCACUGUCAGGAAAUCUUUUUAACCUCUGCUCAACUCCCAACUCCCAACCCAUUAGUUUAAGACAGAGAAGCAAAGGUCACUCCAUCAGUCCCCAGUGGUGCUUUGAGCCUCCUUUCUAGAAGGUAACAGAGUGGAGGGGAAGCACACUUUUCUUUAGAGGGGUUACAUGUUCUGAUGUUUUACUCAGGACAGGUAGUGGCUACACUUGUGAGACUAUUAAGCAACUGCUGGGAGUUGUGCACCUGUGAAAUACAGGUCAAGCUAGUUCUAAUUUGGGAGGGGGAAGUGAGGGUUUAAGGAAGGAGGCUAAAUAUUUUGGAGCAGUCUCAGCCAUUUGUAUCUUGAGUUCUUUUCAAAGUAUGGCCAAUUAAUGGAAGAAAAUUAAUUUGUCUAUAUAUUGCUUCACCUUGCACAGAAACAUCUCUAGAAAGUGGACUAUGUCACUUUCUACAUUUGUCACCAUAUUAGAGAAUGGAUUCUUUUCCCCUUCACAGGUUUCUUGGGAACAUGUUUGUUUAGCUGUCCAUGUGGGUACUGAGGUAAGGGACUGUUUGGUUCAGCUAGUGGAAAUCAAGUAAAGCAUCUUAUAAAAAUCCAUAUAGAUGAGGAAAAUCCUCUUAUCCAAUUGCUUGUUAGAGAAUCAAAUCACUUAAUAUUUCUGAUUAUUUCCUCAUCUCUACGAUAAGGAAGUUGUGUCAGUCAUGAAGGACUUUCUUUUGUACAAGGCUAAAAUUGGAGAAAAAAUUUUUCUGAGAAAAUAAGCAAUUAAGUAUAAAUAGCCUUAUAGGGUUUUAUGGAAAACAGUCUAAUUGGAAUCAAAGCGCAUUAUUGAGAAAAUUGACACUGCUUUUUAGCCAUUAAAAUACUAAUACUGAUUUAUUUGCAAACUUGAAACUUACUGAUCUUAAUGUUGUAUGAUGCUUUUGAGUUCACCGAGUUCAGUCCCAUAGUAUUUUUAAAAAACGGAAUGAGUUAAGUUUUAAUCAUUUCCAAAUGAGAGAAUGGAUAAUUAAAAUAUGAAUGACUAGCAUAGGUUUGGACAUGACCUACAUAUAAAAAACAUGUUGUCACAUGAUUAAGUUAGAUACAAGCCCUACCAGAGAUACUUGAUUACCUGAUACAUGAUUAUUAUUUUUACAGGUAUCUGACUGACCUUAGCAACUCAAUUCAAUAAAUCUAAACUGACCAGUUUAAAUCGACGAUUGGUCUUGAAGGUGUAUUAUUGGUGGUAUUUUGGAUUUUAGAGUCUUGUAUCCAUACAGAACUGCUCCUGUUUUAACCCUCCGUGAUCACUUAGUACAGAAGUUCCAAACAGUCCUACAAAGAGGUGUAAAAUGUUUUGGACUCCAUUAAAUUUCAAAGUUUUCUCUCUUAAUCUCUUUCCACUUAGCUUUCCCAAUUUGAAACAUUGUAUUUGCAUUUUAAUGUGGGGGGGGGUGGGGAGAGGAGCUAUCAAGAAACAUUUGUAUGUAUGGCCCCCGGAGGUGGGGCUUUUUGCGUGCAUUGUUCAUUGACAAGAACAAUGCCUGGCACAUAGUAGGCACUCAAAAUGACUGCUGUGUGCAUGGUAAGCUGAAUUCUUCACCCCCGGCUUAGGGGUGAUCUAAUAGAGGUUUGUGUUUUCAGUUACAUGGGCCAAUAAAUCUUAAUAGUUUAAACCA